rnacentral:rRNA from 1 species
GACGAACGCUGGCGGCGUGCUUAACACAUGCAAGUCGAGCGGAAAGGCCCUUCGGGGUACUCGAGCGGCGAACGGGUGAGUAACACGUGAGUAACCUGCCCCAGACUUUGGGAUAACCCUCGGAAACGGGGGCUAAUACCGGAUACGACACAGCUUCGCAUGGGGUCUGUGUGGAAAGUUUUUCGGUUUGGGAUGGGCUCGCGGCCUAUCAGCUUGUUUGUGGGGUGAUGGCCUACCAAGGCGACGACGGGUAGCCGGCCUGAGAGGGCGACCGGCCACAAUGGGACUGGGGAAAGGGCCAGACUCCUACGGGGGGCAGGAGUGGGGAAUAUUGCCCAAUGGGGGGAAGCCUGAUGACAGGACGGCGGGUGAGGGAAGAAGGCCUUCGGGUUGGAAACCUCUUUUAGGAAGGACCAAGCGUUAGUGACGGUACCUGCAGAAGAAGCGCCGGCCAACUACGUG